UGUCUAGUUCAAAUAGAUUUCAGAAACUCAGUGACAGACAUAUCCUGUGUGUUUGGGUGCAUUAAUUGACUUGCUGGAUGAUGUUGACAUGAAAAAAAAUAAAUAAAUAAAUAAAAAUGAAAGGCACUAUAGACAGGAAAUUAUUACAUUAGACCAGAAACAAUAUGACCAACUAUGAUAACCAAGCUGGCCUCCUGGACUAACCACACACUGGAACUGCAGGGACAAAUGAACUCAUCUCCAUGGAAAUUAAAUCUCAAUAGAUUUAUAACAAAGACUUUGUGAUUUACUUCUCUCCAAACCCUUUGUCUUCAGCAGUAGGGAAAAGGAGAGAGUACUCCUAGCCCUACGCUUGGCUUGCAGCGCUAAUGACCUCAGCUGAUUGCAGUGAUGCAAUAAUAAGGGAGCGAGGUCAUAAGGAACAGCAGGUGGGAUACUUGGGGGUCUUGUAGUUGGGGGCAGAGGGGUCAGUCUGCCAACUUGUGGAGGCAGUUCAGCAUCUGAAGAGCAAGGAGACUGUCUGCUGUGAUGGAAGAUAGAGGAGUUAUUUUGUUUCCAAAGGUACGGAAAGAAACCUUUAAGCUGCAUCUAUUAAGGCAUUCCUCCACAGAGAGAAGAUCAUAUUGCAAACAAGUCCAUGAAAAAAUAAAUAGUAUUUAUUUAGUUCUUUGCCAUUAAGACUCUGUGUGUUCCCAGUUGUUGCAGACUACUACUGCUGUGCCCCUUCCAGCAGCUUCACAGUUGUGAGUUUGCCACACAGUUCUCAAGAUGAUGACUGUGUGAGAGUCAUUCAUGAACUCUAAACCCAGAACAUCACUGGCACUGCUCUCCAGCACUGGAUGGGCUAGCAAUUUAUUAUAUCAACACAAUGAAUAAACCAGGAUGUUUCCCCAGCACAAACAGAACACUUUUUUCCAAGAAACACACAUUACCAAACUUCAAGUUGAAGUGAAAUCAUCGCAUUUGUUGGAUUAUCUUGUGAACAGAAUAAUCAGAGACUCCAGAAGACUGGGUUAUAUUAUUGACUUUGCUGAUGAGUCAUUCUGUAACCUGAGGCAAGUUACUUACCACCUCUCUGCCUGCAACUCCUCAUAUAAACUGAAGAAAAAUCAAAGAAAAUCAAUAUCCUUCCCCACCCUUUGCUUUUGCUAAAUGCUUUAAAAUAUUCAGGUGAAAGGCAUUAGGCAAGUGAAAACCGUCGUGCACUGGAAAAUAUUUCCAUUGUUGCUAGUUUACGGCAAGCCGCGAGAGGAAAGCAACAAUUUGACACCAUCACUUUGAAGAUGGGGAAAGAAGCAAUGCUACUUGAACUAAAAAGGGAUUUGUUUUAUUUUGUUAAUUGCAGUCCUUUUGAAAAAUGAUACUUAUCCUGCCAGUGAAGUGCUAAUUAAUGUUAGGAUGUGGUACACCAUAUAAUAAAGGCUGCUGUUGAGGAAUGUGAAUGAAGAAGAAAUUGUUCCUGAGGUGUUGAUGGGUAAACAAGAUUGGUGUAGAGGUGGGCCGCAGGUAAGCUUGACUUUGCAUUUUUGCAAGCUGCUGCCUUUCUACUUACAUUCAUUUUUAGAUAUUUUUCCAUGACAGAAAACCGAGGAAGAGAAAAAUCCUUCACUUUUGGUCACCACUAACAUUCUUGCUCUGGUCCUUGGAUUUUUAGAUGCAGACAACUUUAGGAUAGGAUCUCAGAGCAGUAACAUAAGAAAUUGUUAUGUAAUGAACCAUCAUCAUUUUAAAAAUGUAAUUAAGAUUCUGUUUCCCACAAUGCAAUUUUUAUUUGGCAGUUUGUGUAUUUGUCUGAUUUUAUAUGCUACUGUGUAAUUUUGGCCCCAUAUUAAUGAAAACCUUCAUACUCACUUGAUAAUUAUUUGCAUUUGUGUUUAAUUUCUUCAUUUUUUUUUUCUCAGUCUUUUUUGUUGUUCAGACAGAAACACACCAUAUAAUUCAGGGAGCAAUUUUGGGUUUCUCUCUGCUCCCCAGCUACUUAGGGAAAUUUUGUCUGUCACAGAGGUUUAUGUCUUUGUAUUAAAGACUUUCCCAUGUAGAAACAUGGAGGAGAUUUUGCUGCUGUAACAGCGUGUGGCAAUUUGUGGCAAUACCCCCCAUGUUUAUCUUCUGCAGCCAUCCUUGACUUCUCCACUGCUGGUAGUGGGAACCCCCCAGAAACAUGAAAUUGAAUCACAAAAACUAUACUAUAAUUGAUUGUAGUAACUUGUAAAAGUCUGAGGAAUAAAAAUAAAUAAUAAAAAUAAUAAUAAUAAAAAAAAA